AGAGUUUGAUCAUGGCUCAGAACGUACGCUGGCGGCACGCCUUAUACAUGCAAGUCGAACGAAGUAGCAAUACUUAGUGGCAGACGGGUGAGUAACAUGUAGGUAUCUUCCCUUUGGUGAGGAAUAACACGAGGAAACUUGUGCUAAUACCUCAUAAGUCUUCACGGAGAAAGCUUUAUGCGCCGAAGGAUGAGCCUGCAAUUGAUUAGUUUGUUGGUGGGGUAAUGGCCUACCAAGACUAUGAUCAAUAGCUGAUCUGAGAGGAUGAUCAGCCACAUUGGGACUGAGACACGGCCCAGACUCCUACGGGAGGCAGCAGUAGGGAAUAUUGCACAAUGGAGGAAACUCUGAUGCAGCGAUGCCGCGUGAGUGAAGAAGGCCUUUGGGUUGUAAAGCUCUUUCGUCGGGGAAGAAAAUGACUGUACCCGAAUAAGAAGGUCCGGCUAACUUCGUGCCAGCAGCCGCGGUAAUACGAAGGGACCUAGCGUAGUUCGGAAUUACUGGGCUUAAAGAGUUCGUAGGUGGUUAAAAAAGUUGGUGGUGAAAUCCCAGAGCUUAACUCUGGAACUGCCAUCAAAACUUUUUAGCUAGAGUAUGAUAGAGGAAAGCAGAAUUUCUAGUGUAGAGGUGAAAUUCGUAGAUAUUAGAAAGAAUACCAAUUGCGAAGGCAGCUUUCUGGAUCAUUACUGACGCUGAGGAACGAAAGCAUGGGUAGCGAAGAGGAUUAGAUACCCUCGUAGUCCAUGCCGUAAACGAUGUGUGUUAGACGUUGGAAAUUUAUUUUCAGUGUCGCAGCGAAAGCAUUAAACACACCGCCUGGGGAGUACGACCGCAAGGUUAAAACUCAAAUGAAUUGACGGGGACCCGCACAAGUAGUGGAGCAUGUGGUUUAAUUCGAAGAUACGCGCAGAACCUUACCAACACUUGACAUGUUCGUCGCGACUUUAAGAGAUUAAAGUUUUCGGUUCGGCCGGACGAAACACAGGUGCUGCAUGGCUGUCGUCAGCUCGUGUCGUGAGAUGUUGGGUUAAGUCCCGCAACGAGCGCAACCCUCACUUUUAGUUGCCAUCAUUAAGUUGGGCACUCUGAAAGAACUGCCAGUGAUAAGCUGGAGGAAGGUGGGGAUGACGUCAAGUCCUCAUGGCCCUUACGUGUUGGGCUACACACGUGCUACAAUGGCAUUUACAAUAGGAAGCAAGAUGGCGACAUCAAGCAAAUCCUAAAAAGAUGCCUCAGUUCGGAUUGUACUCUGCAACUCGAGUACAUGAAGCUGGAAUUACUAGUAAUCGCGGAUCAGCGCGCCGCGGUGAAUACGUUCCCGGGUCUUGUACACACCGCCCGUCACACCAUGGGAGUUGGUUCUACCUUAAGGCAAGGUUUAAAACCCUUGACUACGGUAUAGUCAGCGACUGGGGUGAAGUCGUAACAAGGUAACCGUA
rnacentral:rRNA from 1 species